rnacentral:rRNA from 1 species
UACGGGGGGGGGCAAGCGUUGUUCGGAAUUAUUGGGCGUAAAGAGCUCGUAGGUGGCUUGUCACGUCGGGUGUGAAAGCUUGGGGCUUAACUCCAGGUCUGCAUUCGAUACGGGCUGGCUAGAGGUAGGUAGGGGAGAACGGAAUUCCUGGUGUAGCGGUGAAAUGCGCAGAUAUCAGGAGGAACACCGGUGGCGAAGGCGGUGCUCUGGGCCGAAACUGACGCUGAGGAGCGAAAGCGUGGGUAGCAAACAGG